GAUGAAGAACGCAGCGAAAUGCGAUAAGUAAUGUGAAUUGCAGAAUUCAGUUAAUCAUCGAAUCUUUGAACGCACAUUGCGCCCGCCAGUAUUCUGGCGGGCAUGCCUGUCCGAGCGUCAUUUCAACCCUCGAGCCCCUCCGGGGGGUCGGCGUUGGGGAUCGGCCCCUCACCGGGCCGCCCCCGAAAUACAGUGGCGGUCUCGCCGCAGCCUCUCCUGCGCAGUAGUUUGCACACUCGCACCGGGAGCGCGGCGCGGCCACAGCCGUAAAACACCCCAAGCAUUCUGAAAUGUUGACCUCGGAUCAGGUAGGAAUACCCGCUGAACUUAAGCAUAUCAAUAAGCGGAGGA
rnacentral:misc_RNA from 1 species